rnacentral:rRNA from 1 species
GCUUGUCUCAAAGAUUAAGCCAUGCAUGUCUAAGUAUAAGCAAUUAUACAGCGAAACUGCGAAUGGCUCAUUAUAUAAGUUAUCGUUUAUUUGAUAGUGCCUUACUACUUGGAUAACCGUGGUAAUUCUAGAGCUAAUACAUGCUGAAAGCCCCGACUUACGGAGGGGCGUAUUUAUUAGAUUAAAAACCAACGCCCUUCGGGGCUCCUUGGUGAUUCAUGAUAACUUCUCGAAUCGCACGGCCUCGCGCCGGCGAUGGUUCAUUCAAAUUUCUUCCCUAUCAACUUUCGAUGUUUGGGUAGUGGCCAAACAUGGUGUCAACGGGUAACGGAGGGUUAGGGCUCGACCCCGGAGAAGGAGCCUGAGAAACGGCUCCUACAUCCAAGGAAGGCAGCAGG